rnacentral:rRNA from 1 species
UACGUAGGUGACCAGCGUUGUCCGGAUUUACUGGGCGUAAAGAGCGCGCAGGCGGCCGUUCAAGUCGAGUGUGAAAGCCCCCGGCUCAACUGGGGAGGGUCAUUCGAUACUGAUCGACUCGAAGGCAGGAGAGGGAAGUGGAAUUCCCGGUGUAGUGGUGAAAUGCGUAGAUAUCGGGAGGAACACCAGUGGCGAAGGCGACUUCCUGGCCUGUUCUUGACGCUGAGGCGCGAAAGCUAGGGGAGCAAACGGG